UGAAGCCAGCUCGGCCGGAGCCGGGAGGGAAAUCUCGAAGCUACAGAGGUAAGAGAGGGUAAAGAGAGGGGUUUCUGGUCGCGUUUUCGAUUCCGCUACCCGGGAGUCCCCGGCAGCCCUUGCGGAACCGGCUGACGUGGCGCGACCGUUACCAGGGUGACGCGGGAGAUUUAAAAGCGGCUGUAACUCGAGACAAGCACUCGGUUCCUCGGAUCAGCUGACUGAAGCCAGCUCGGCCGGAGCCGGGAGGGAAAUCUCGAAGCUACAGAGGUAACAGAGGGUAAAGAGAGGGGUUUCUGGUCGCGUUUUCGAUUCCGCUACCCGGGAGUCCCCGGCAGCCCUUGCGGAACCGGCUGACGUGGCGCGACCGUUACCAGGGUGACGCGGGAGAUUUAAAAGCGGCUGUAACUCGAGACAAGCACUCGGUUCCUCGGAUCAGCUGACUGAAGCCAGCUUGGCCGGAGCCGGGAGGGAAAUCUCGAAGCUACAGAGGUAACAGAGGGUAAAGAGAGGGGUUUCUGGUCGCGUUUUCGAUUCCGCUACCCGGGAGUCCCCGGCAGCCCUUGCGGAACCGGCUGACGUGGCGCGACCGUUACCACGGUGACGGAAGUCACACCCCUCCCCCUUGCUUUGAAAAAGCCUCUGGGAGGGCAGCGGAACGUCGACUGCCCACCAGGCGCUGGAAGGUGAACGUGCUUGUGAGACAGGAAGAAGAGAGGCUCGAUUUCUUCUUUAAGCCAGCAAGUGAACAGAAGAAUACCCGAUGGAGGAUGGCACUGGCAUAGAGACCUCCCUCACAGCGGUUCGAUUGAACAGAUAAUAUUUUAUGGACAUACACAGACAUAACUUUGACUGUGUCAUUCUUUCAUCAGGUUUAUGUUCUUCCUUCAGGAUAAACAAGCCAAUUAUCUGCA